UACAGAGGUCUCAAGCGUUGUUCGGAUUCAUUGGGCGUAAAGGGUGCGUAGGCGGCGCGGUAAGUCGGGUGUGAAAUCUCGGAGCUUAACUCCGAAACUGCAUUCGAUACUGCCGUGCUUGAGGACUGGAGAGGAGACUGGAAUUUACGGUGUAGCGGUGAAAUGCGUAGAUAUCGUAAGGAACAUCAGUGGCGAAAGCGACUUCCUGGUCCAGCAUCGACGUUCAGGCACGAAAGCGUGGGGAGCAAACAGG
rnacentral:rRNA from 1 species